rnacentral:antisense_RNA from 1 species
UGUAGGAGUGAGCCUGCUCGCGAUAGCGGUGGAUCAGUCAGUACUUAUGCCGACUGACACACCGCUAUCGCGAGCAGGCUCACUCCUACA